CACACUUGAACACACACACACACACACACACACACUUGAACACACACACCGCCUCACGUAUAAUCAUGAAAUUGCUUCCAGCUCGCUGAGAGUAAACCUGGUCCCGACAGAAACUGAGAGGAAACAAAGCGCCCCUCCGCGUGCACAAUUAUUUGCCCAGUGCGCACUGCACAGUGUUGCACAGCAGCGCAGAUUGCCCCCACUCUGCAGUGCAGCUCAGUCAUACCAGAAAACCUGCUACUGUGUGUUUCACGGCCACAGAAACUCUCACUUUCUCAGCAUUAAAACGUGCUCCACGCGCAUACCGGGAUGUGUAAUGCGCUUAAUUAGGAAAAGGCAAAGCUGCGCGAGGAGUCUCAGCUGCAGAUCAACUCGCACAUCCUGACAGAGAGAGGAGGACUUUAACACCCGGUCUGCAGUUCUCACACAGUCCGGGUGUGAUGAAGAUGAUGCUGCUGCGACCUGCGCUGCGCAUCCUCAGCAAGCACCAACCCGGACACGAACCCCCCAGAGGGAAGCCCGGAGAGGAGAGGACAAGCGAAGGAAGCGAUGGGGAGCAUCCAGACCGCUGCUGAUGGAGAGAGACACGGAAUGAGACUACAGAGGGACGGAGAGGAGCAGGAGGAGGAGGAGGAGGAGAAGGAGGGGGAGGCUCUGACUGGUGGAGACAAAGAGAGAGAUCACGGAGUCCGACAGGUCCUAGCGCCGGAAAAAUACCGGUUUAAAGGUUUGAUGGGUCCUAGUGCCGAGAGGACACGUGCUCCAGUGACUGAGCAUCGACAUCAGCAGAAGAUACCAAAAAAAAACAUCUUUACAGGUUGUGUCUCACAGCAAAGACACUGCAUUUAUGUGGGUCGUGGUUUUACUGACCUUGGUAACUGGGAAUAAAUUGAUUAUAUUAUUUAA